UUAAGCAUAUCAAUAAGCGGAGGAAAAGAAACCAACAGGGAUUGCCCUAGUAACGGCGAGUGAAGCGGCAAAAGCUCAAAUUUGAAAUCUGGCUUCGGCCCGAGUUGUAAUUUGUAGAGGAUGUUUCGGGCACCGCCCCGGCGUAAGUCCCUUGGAACAGGGCGUCAUAGAGGGUGAGAAUCCCGUCUGGCGUCGUGGUAGGGCCCAUGUGAAACUCCUUCGACGAGUCGAGUUGUUUGGGAAUGCAGCUCAAAAUGGGUGGUAAAUUUCAUCUAAAGCUAAAUACUGGCCAGAGACCGAUAGCGCACAAGUAGAGUGAUCGAAAGAUGAAAAGCACUUUGAAAAGAGAGUUAAACAGUAUGUGAAAUUGUUGAAAGGGAAGCGCUUACAACCAGACUUGAGCCCGUCGGUUCCCCCUCGCUUCUGCGUGGGCUACUCCGGCGGGUCCAGGCCAACAUCGGUUCGGGUGGCUGGUCAAAGGCCCCGGGAAUGUACCUCACCUUCGGGUUAGGCUUAUAGCCCGGGGUGUCAUGCGGCCUACCUGGACCGAGGAACGCGCUUCGGCUCGGAUGUUGGCGUAAUGGUUGUCAGCGACCCNUCUUGAAACACGGACCAAGGAGUCGAAGAGCUAUGCGAGUGUUUGGGUGUCAAACCCGUACGCGUAAUGAAAGUGAACGGAGGUAGGAAGCUUCGGCUGCACUAUCGACCGAUCCUGAUGUUCUCGGAUGGAUUUGAGUAAGAGCAUAACUCUCCGGACCCGAAAGAUGGUGAACUAUGCCUGAAUAGGGUGAAGCCAGAGGAAACUCUGGUGGAGGCUCGCAGCGGUUCUGACGUGCAAAUCGAUCGUCAAAUUUGGGUAUAGGGGCGAAAGACUAAUCGAACCAUCUGGUAGCUGGUUCCUGCCGAAGUUUCCCUCAGGAUAGCAGUAACGUUUUCAGUUUUAUGAGGUAAAGCGAAUGAUUAGAGGCCUUGGGGUUGAAACAACCUUAACCUAUUCUCAAACUUUAAAUAUGUAAGAAGUCCUUGUUACUUAGUUGAACGUGGACAUUUGAAUGUAUCGUUACUAGUGGGCCAUUUUUGGUAAGCAGAACUGGCGAUGCGGGAUGAACCGAACGUGAGGUUAAGGUGCCGGACUGCACGCUCAUCAGACACCACAAAAGGUGUCAAUGCAUCUAGACAGCCGGACGGUGGCCAUGGAAGUCGGAAUCCGCUUAGGAGUGUGUAACAACUCACCGGCCGAAUGCAUUGGCCCUGAAAAUGGAUGGCGCUUAAGCGUGCGACCUAUACCUCGCCGUCAGGGUUGACAUGAUGCCCUGACGAGUAGGCAGGCGUGGAGGUUUGUGACGAAGCCUUGGGGGUGACCCCGGGUC
rnacentral:rRNA from 1 species